UACGUAGGGUGCAAGCGUUGUCCGGAAUUAUUGGGCGUAAAGAGCUCGUAGGCGGUCUGUCGCGUCGGCUGUGAAAACUCGGGGCUCAACUCCGAGCUUGCAGUCGAUACGGGCAGGCUAGAGUUCGGCAGGGGAGACUGGAAUUCCUGGUGUAGCGGUGAAAUGCGAGAGUAUCAGGAGGAACACCGGUGGCGAAGGCGGGUCUCUGGGCCGAUACUGACGCUGAGGAGCGAAAGCGUGGGGAGCGAACAGG
rnacentral:rRNA from 1 species